UACGUAGGGGGCAAGCGUUGUCCGGAAUUAUUGGGCGUAAAGAGCUCGUAGGCGGUCUGUCGCGUCUGCUGUGAAAACUCAGGGCUUAACCCUGAGCUUGCAGUGGGUACGGGCAGACUAGAGUGCGGUAGGGGAGACUGGAAUUCCUGGUGUAGCGGUGAAAUGCGCAGAUAUCAGGAGGAACACCGGUGGCGAAGGCGGUUCUCUGGGCCUUACCUGACGCUGAGGAGCGAAAGCGUGGGGAGCAAACAGG
rnacentral:rRNA from 1 species